AGCUUGCUUUUGAUGGGCGUCGACCGGCGCACGGGUGAGUAACGCGUAUCCAACCUGCCCACCACUUGGGGAUAACCUUGCGAAAGUAAGACUAAUACCCAAUGAUAUCUCUAGAAGACAUCUGAAGGAGAUUAAAGAUUUAUCGGUGAUGGAUGGGGAUGCGUCUGAUUAGCUUGUUGGCGGGGUAACGGCCCACCAAGGCGACGAUCAGUAGGGGUUCUGAGAGGAAGGUCCCCCACAUUGGAACUGAGACACGGUCCAAACUCCUACGGGAGGCAGCAGUGAGGAAUAUUGGUCAAUGGGCGAGAGCCUGAACCAGCCAAGUAGCGUGCAGGAUGACGGCCCUAUGGGUUGUAAACUGCUUUUAUAAGGGAAUAAAGUGAGUCUCGUGAGACUUUUUGCAUGUACCUUAUGAAUAAGGACCGGCUAAUUCCGUGCCAGCAGCCGCGGUAAUACGGAAGGUCCGGGCGUUAUCCGGAUUUAUUGGGUUUAAAGGGAGCGUAGGCCGGAGAUUAAGCGUGUUGUGAAAUGUAGACGCUCAACGUCUGCACUGCAGCGCGAACUGGUUUCCUUGAGUACGCACAAAGUGGGCGGAAUUCGUGGUGUAGCGGUGAAAUGCUUAGAUAUCACGAAGAACUCCGAUUGCGAAGGCAGCUCACUGGAGCGCAACUGACGCUGAAGCUCGAAAGUGCGGGUAUCGAACAGGAUUAGAUACCCCGGUAGUCCGCACGGUAAACGAUGGAUGCCCGCUGUUGGUCUGAAUAGGUCAGCGGCCAAGCGAAAGCAUUAAGCAUCCCACCUGGGGAGUACGCCGGCA
rnacentral:rRNA from 1 species